rnacentral:rRNA from 1 species
UACAGAGGUCUCAAGCGUUGUUCGGAUUCAUUGGGCGUAAAGGGUGCGUAGGCGGCGCGGUAAGUCGGGUGUGAAAUCUCGGGGCUUAACUCCGAAACUGCAUUCGAUACUGCCGUGCUUGAGGACUGGAGAGGAGACUGGAAUUUACGGUGUAGCGGUGAAAUGCGUAGAUAUCGUAAGGAAGACCAGUGGCGAAGGCGGGUCUCUGGACCUUUUCUGACGCUGAGGCGCGAAAGCCAGGGGAGCAAACGGG